rnacentral:rRNA from 1 species
GAUGAACGCUGGCGGCGUGCUUAACACAUGCAAGUCGAACGGACGAACGCGUUCCUUUCUUUUCUGUGGUUAGCGGCGGCCAGCUGAGUAAUAAGUGGUUAACCUACUUCUCCGUCUUUGUUAACUACCGCAUACCGGAGUUACUACUACAUGAUAUUUUGGGUCUCUUGGUUCAUAAGUGUGGGACGGUCUUGCUUUCGCUUAUAGAUGGAUCCGCGCGGCAUUAGCUAGUUGGUGCGGUGAUGGCGUACCAAGGCAAGGAUGCAUAGCCGACCUGAGAGGGGGAUCGGCGACACAGGAGCUGAGAGACGGGGCAGACUCCUACGGGAGGCAGAAGUGGGGAAUCUACCGCAAUGGGCGAAAGCGUGUCGGAGCAACGCGGCGUGAGUGAGGAAGGUCUUCGGAUCGUAAAACUCUGUUAUGAGGGAAGAACAUAUGUGUAAGUAACUGUGCAGAUCUUGAGGGUACCUAAGCAGAAGGCCACGGCUAACUACUU